GCAUAAUGAAAGAUGAAAACAGAAACUAAAUCCUUUGUUUAUCAUUUCUUACUUUGGGCUAUAACUAAUAUUGAAUAAUAUAGCAUAAAAUAAAUUAAUGACUUACAUUAGUAAAAGACAAAAUAAAUUUGAACAUGAAACACAACUAAUAAGAAUAUACAGUGGUACCUCAGUCUACAUCUGCUUUGGAAUAAGUCCAGCUUGGUAUAUGUCCUGUUUGGACAUAAAAAAUUUUUCUCAGCAUAUGAUCUUUGGCAUAACUGACUCACAUGCUAGAACUUGUAUGAGUCAAAAUGAGUCAUGACAGUGCAUGCUAUCCUUAUUUACUUCUCUCAAGAUAAUGCCAUAACUGUGCACAAGUGUCAGUAUGCCAAUUGCUAUCAUUCAGUAAACAACCCAUGCUAUAAUUCUUUGUGAAUUUUCACAUGAUUUUGUG
rnacentral:lncRNA from 1 species